UACGGGGGGGCAAGCGUUGUUCGGAAUUACUGGGCGUAAAGGGCUCGUAGGUGGCCAACUAAGUCAGACGUGAAAUCCCUCAGCUUAACUGGGGAACUGCGUCUGAUACUGGAUGGCUUGAGUUUGGGAGAGGGAUGCGGAAUUCCAGGUGUAGCGGUGAAAUGCGCAGAUAUCGGGAAGAACACCCGUGGCGAAGGCGGUUCUCUGGGACGGUACUGACGCUGAGACGCGAAAGCGUGGGGAGCGAACAGGG
rnacentral:rRNA from 1 species